GAUGAAGAACGUAGCGAAAUGCGACAAGUAAUGUGAAUUGCAGAAUUCAGUGAAUCAUCGAAUCUUUGAACGCACAUUGCGCCCGCCAGUAUUCUGGCGGGCAUGCCUGUCCGAGCGUCAUUUCAACCCUCAAGCCCCCGGGCUUGGUGUUGGAGAUCGGCGAGCCCCCCGGGGCGCGCCGUCUCCCAAAUAUAGUGGCGGUCCCGCUGUAGCUUCCUCUGCGUAGUAGCACACCUCGCACUGGGAAACAGCGUGGCCACGCCGUAAAACCCCCCACUUCUGAAAGGUUGACCUCGGAUCAGGUAGGAAUACCCGCUGAACUUAAGCAUAUCAAUAAGCGGAGGA
rnacentral:misc_RNA from 1 species